rnacentral:rRNA from 1 species
UACGUAGGGGGCAAGCGUUGUCCGGAUUUAUUGGGCGUAAAGAGCUCGUAGGUGGUUCGGUAAGUCGGAUGUGAAAUCUCCAGGCUCAACCUGGAGGGGUCAUUCGAUACUGCCGUGACUAGAGGUCGGUAGGGGAGUGUGGAAUUCCUGUUGGAGCGGUGAAAUGCGCAGAUAUCAGGAGGAACACCGGUGGCGAAGGCAGGUCUCUGGGCCGAUACUGACGCUGAGGAGCGAAAGCGUGGGGAGCGAACAGG